CCUACGGGGGGCUGCAGUGAGGAAUAUUGGUCAAUGGGCGAGAGCCUGAACCAGCCAAGUCGCGUGAGGGAGUACUGCCCUAUGGGUUGUAAACCUCUUUUGUCGGGGAGCAAAAGCCGGACGUGUCCGGCUGUGAGAGUACCCUAAGAAAAAGCAUCGGCUAACUCCGUGCCAGCAGCCGCGGUAAUACGGAGGAUGCGAGCGUUAUCCGGAUUUAUUGGGUUUAAAGGGUGCGCAGGCGGAUUUUUAAGUCAGCGGUAAAAUCGUGGGGCUCAACCCCAUCCAGCCGUUGAAACUGGGGAUCUAGAGUGUGCGAGAGGUAUGCGGAAUGCGUGGUGUAGCGGUGAAAUGCAUAGAUAUCACGCAGAACCCCGAUUGCGAAGGCAGCAUACCGGUGCACAACUGACGCUCAGGCACGAAAGCGUGGGUAUCGAACAGGAUUAGAUACCCCUGUAGUC
rnacentral:rRNA from 1 species